GUCGAGCGGACAGAUGGGAGCUUGCUCCCUGAUGUUAGCGGCGGACGGGUGAGUAACACGUGGGUAACCUGCCUGUAAGACUGGGAUAACUCCGGGAAACCGGGGCUAAUACCGGAUGGUUGUUUGAACCGCAUGGUUCAGACAUAAAAGGUGGCUUCGGCUACCACUUACAGAUGGACCCGCGGCGCAUUAGCUAGUUGGUGAGGUAACGGCUCACCAAGGCGACGAUGCGUAGCCGACCUGAGAGGGUGAUCGGCCACACUGGGACUGAGACACGGCCCAGACUCCUACGGGAGGCAGCAGUAGGGAAUCUUCCGCAAUGGACGAAAGUCUGACGGAGCAACGCCGCGUGAGUGAUGAAGGUUUUCGGAUCGUAAAGCUCUGUUGUUAGGGAAGAACAAGUGCCGUUCAAAUAGGGCGGCACCUUGACGGUACCUAACCAGAAAGCCACGGCUAACUACGUGCCAGCAGCCGCGGUAAUACGUAGGUGGCAAGCGUUGUCCGGAAUUAUUGGGCGUAAAGGGCUCGCAGGCGGUUUCUUAAGUCUGAUGUGAAAGCCCCCGGCUCAACCGGGGAGGGUCAUUGGAAACUGGGGAACUUGAGUGCANAAAGGAGAGUGGAAUUCNCACGUGUAGCGGUGAAAUGCGUANAGAUGUGGANGAACACCACUGGC
rnacentral:rRNA from 1 species